rnacentral:rRNA from 1 species
UGCCAGCCGCCGCGGUAAGACGUAGGGACCGAGCGUUGUCCGGAGUUAUUGGGCGUAAAGAGCUCGUAGGCGGUUGCGUAAGUCGGAUGUGAAAACUUGAGGCUCAACCUCAAGACGCCAUCCGACACUGCGCUGACUUGAAUCCAGUAGGGGAGUGUGGAACUCCUGGUGUAGCGGUGAAAUGCGCAGAUAUCAGGAGGAACACCUAUGGCGAAGGCAGCACUCUGGGCUGGUAUUGACGCUGAGGAGCGAAAGCAUGGGUAGCAAACAGGAUUAGAUA